rnacentral:rRNA from 1 species
GAUGAACGCUGGUGGCGUGCUUAACACAUGCAAGUCGAACGGGAAUUUGUAAACAGUAGCCUCGGUGGAAGAUUACUAAUGAGAGUGGCGAACGGGGGAGUACCGCGUUAUCAACCUGCCUAUGACUGUGGGAUAGCCUCGGGAAACCGGGAAUAAUAUCGCAUCAAAUGGUAGAAAAGCAUAUUUUAACGUUCAAAGCUUUAUCGGUCAUAGAUGGGCUGGCUUCUGAUUAGCUAGUUGUUGCGAUAACAGCCCACCAAGGCGAGGAUCAGUAGACGGUAUGAGAGGAUGGGCGGCGACAUUGGAGCUGGGACGCAGUACAGACUCCUACGGGAGGCAGGAGUGGGGAAUAUUGCACAGUGGGGGGAACCAUGAUGCAGCGACGACGGGAGAACGAAGAUAGUAUGCGUAAAGUAAAGUGUUGGUAUAUGGGAAGAUAAUGACAGUACCAUAGAAGAAAGCCACGGCUAAAUACGUG